CAGUUAACCAAGAAAUCACCAUGUUAUUGCACCUAUCCCAUAACCUUUGUUGAGCCACAUUAGUGGCUGGUCGGGAGCACGUGCCAUCAGCAAAACCAAUCUUAUUUUUAGCAGAUAAUGCAACAAACAUUUUUCUCCUCCAACCCUCAUAAACACUUCCCGAGAAGGGAGUGGGAACAAGAGAGACCCCAGGGACAUCAGAGGAGUAUACAAAGAGAGGACCGGUAGAGUCUACCGAGGAGGAGGUACUAGUAUUCGUAUUAGAAGUCAUGAUUAAUGCACC
rnacentral:lncRNA from 1 species